rnacentral:rRNA from 1 species
UGGGGAAUUUUGGACAAUGGGCGAAAGCCUGAUCCAGCAAUGCCGCGUGUGUGAAGAAGGCCUUCGGGUUGUAAAGCACUUUUGUCCGGAAAGAAAUCCUUGGCUCUAAUACAGUCGGGGGAUACGGUACCGGAAGAAUAAGCACCGGCUAACUACGUGCCAGCAGCCGCGGUAAUACGUAGGGUGCAAGCGUUAAUCGGAAUUACUGGGCGUAAAGCGUGCGCAGGCGGUUUGCUAAGACCGUGUGAAAUCCCCGGGCUCAACCUGGGACUGCAUUGGUGACUGGCAGGCUAGAGNAUGGCAGAGGGGGGUAGAAUUCCACGUGUACAGUGAAAUGCGUAGAGAUGUGGAGGAAUACCGAUGGCGAAGGCAGCCCCCUGGGCCAAUACUGACGCUCAUGCACGAAAG